rnacentral:lncRNA from 10 species
UAAAUGCAGCAAUAUAUACUUUUAUUAUUACUCACUGGUUUAGCUUUUCCUAUCCCUUACAUAAAUGACUAUAUUAGUCAGUAUAAACUUGCCCUGCUGGGUUUUGGACUUGCUUGGAGCUUUUUACUCUUAUUUUGAUUCUCUCUCCCUUUUGGAAUGGGAAUGUCUGUCCUAUACCUGUAACACCAUUUUAUCUUGAAAGUGGAUAACUUGCCUCAAUUUCGGAGGUUUACAAGUAAGACUCUGGAAUUUGGACUUUUGAGCUGAUGCUGAUGCUGAAAUGAGUUUUUGGGGCUAUGAGGAUGGAAAAAAACGUAUAUGUAUUUAAAGUUGUGAGAAAGACAUAAGUUUUGGAGAUCCAAGGGCAGAACACUAUGACGUGAAAGUUUGUUCCCUCUGAAAUUCAUGUUGCAUGAACUUUGUCCCCAGUGUGGCAGUAUCGAGAGGUAAGGCCUUCAAGAGGUAAUUGGAUCACGGCCCUCAGGAGGGAAUUUAUCAAUUAAUGGAUUAAUGGAUUAAUGAAUUGUCAUGGGAGAGAUAUUAGUGGUUUCAAAAGCAGAGAAAGAGAGACCUGAGCUAGCACACUCCUCCCCUUCACCAUGCGAUGCCCUUCACUACCUUGCGACUCUACAGCGAGUCACCACCAGCAAUGAGACGCUCAUCAGAUAUGGAUCCUCAACCUUGAAAUGCUCAUCUCCAUACUGCUUUGAAAUAAUCAUUAAAACUAUACAUUUAACAAGAUCGGAGUCAUAUGGUGCGCAUCUGCCAGCACAGUAACACAACUCUUUACAAACAAUGAUGACAACUUUUUUAUAUUUUAAUUGUGUCUGCAUCUAUCAGAGCUCUGAAUCCAACUUAAGUCUCCUUUUCUUGACUCAUUAUUACACAAUUUAUUGUUUUGUUCUAAAGAGUUGCAGAUAACACUUUGUUUGGACCAUAAGAUACUAAUAUAUAAAAGGAGGAACAUUUAUACAUAGCUGUUCAAAUUGCAUGUCUAGAUUUGAUAUCCUGAGAAAAAUGUACAACUUUAAUUAAAAAUGUGUGAAAUUUCACAUUCAAAGAAAUCAUUAAGAGACGUGAUAGCUAAGUGCAAUACUCCAUCAUAGGCUGGAUACUUUCAGAGUGACUAACUGUUAUGUUUUAUCUUGGACUGAUAGGUUUCCAGGGACACGGGACUUUCAGUGCUAAAACAUGGACAGUCAAUCAGACUGCUCAUACUGGUUCUGGAACACACACACACACACACGCACACACAUUUUUUAUUUAUUUCUUUUAUAAAAUUAUUAACCAAUGUCUAGAAUUAAGCAAGCAAUUUUCACUUUUUGCCGAAGAGCUGAUUAUAAAAAUACUUAUUUUUAAUUUAAGUUACAUUUCCUUUAAAAUAUUAGUUAAAAAAUUCAAACAGUUUUUAAAAGGGCUUUUCUCUUUCUUUCUUUCUUUGUUUCUUUCUUUCUUUCUUUCUCUUUCUUUCUCUCUCUUUCUUUUUUCUUUCUUUCUU